AAGAUAUCAAAUGUGUUACAAUUGGAAUGAUACAGAGAAGAUUAGCAUGGUCUCUGUACAAGAGUGAUAUGCACAUUUGUGAAGUGUUCCAUAUUUAA
rfam:Erinaceus europaeus unplaced genomic scaffold scaffold00480, whole genome shotgun sequence